rnacentral:rRNA from 1 species
CAGUAGCCGCGGGAAUACGAAGGGGGCUAGCGUUGCUCGGAAUCACUGGGCGUAAAGGGUGCGUAGGCGGGUCUUUAAGUCAGGGGUGAAAUCCUGGAGCUCAACUCCAGAACUGCCUUUGAUACUGAAGAUCUUGAGUUCGGGAGAGGUGAGUGGAACUGCGAGUGUAGAGGUGAAAUUCGUAGAUAUUCGCAAGAACACCAGUGGCGAAGGCGGCUCACUGGCCCGAUACCGACGCUGAGGCACGAAAGCGUGGGGAGCAAACAGGAUUAGAUACCCCAGUAGUCCCUGUCUCUUAUAC